GCCUUUUUUUUCCUUGCUCCUUUCUUCACACCAGUUAGGGAGUUCUGGAACUCACUAUUAUUCUAUGGAACAAGUUAACAUGAAAAUGAAUACUGCCUGAAGACUGACCAGUACUUUCUGAAAGCUUUCUCAUUGACGGUAUGGCGAUAUUUGCUUCUGUCGGGGUUCAGAAGCCACUAAGAGAGGGCCAUGAGAUAGACAUAUUAAAGGACACAAGGCCAACUUCAAAACCAAGGCUUACAUUUUGCAUAGUGAGUUCCGGUGCCCUGUGUGACCAGAAACAGGAUCUUCAUCGCUCAAGGAUGCACUUCCAUUUCCUGCUCCGCCUAGGAGAGAGCUGAGUGGCCCAGGGCGUCUCCCAACUAAGGCAGUGUGGGAGCUGUGGGGUGUUUCACCAAUCCAAACAGUACUACAGGAUGAAGGAGUGCAGGGCUGAAUGGAUGGAUGAAGGGAAGGAGUCUGGAAGAGAGAAGCAGGGAGGUCAGGAGAUCCUCUGAUAAACUUCCUGGGCUACGACGGAUGUCCACCUGCGGAUUGGAAACUCAUGGCUGAUUCUUCCCUGUAACUCAGUCAAUGAACAAAGAGACCUGCCAUCAUGCCAGUCCCAGGGCAAGCCAUUUGUCCACCUCUCUGACUUCUGUCCAGCCUCAAAGUUAAAAAAGAAAAGCAGCCUUGUGUUCAGACUUGUCCCUCAUAUUCAUUUCCA